rnacentral:rRNA from 1 species
AUUGAACGCUGGCGGCAUGCUUUACACAUGCAAGUCGAACGGCAGCGCGGGCUUCGGCCUGGCGGCGAGUGGCGAACGGGUGAGUAAUGCAUCGGAACGUGCCCAGUAGUGGGGGAUAGCCCGGCGAAAGCCGGAUUAAUACCGCAUACGACCUGAGGGUGAAAGCGGGGGGCCGUAAGGCCUCGCGCUAUUGGAGCGGCCGAUGUCGGAUUAGCUAGUUGGUGGGGUAAAGGCUUACCAAGGCGACGAUCCGUAGCUGGUCUGAGAGGACGACCAGCCACACUGGGACUGAGACACGGCCCAGACUCCUACGGGAGGCAGCAGUGGGGAAUUUUGGACAAUGGGGGCAACCCUGAUCCAGCCAUGCCGCGUGCGGGAAGAAGGCCUUCGGGUUGUAAACCGCUUUUGUUCGGGAAGAAAUCCUCUGGGCUAAUACCCCGGGGGGAUGACGGUACCGGAAGAAUAAGCACCGGCUAACUACGUG